rnacentral:rRNA from 1 species
AUAACGAUGCGGGACUCCUAUGAGGCUCCGCAAUUGGAAUGAGUACAAUUUAAAUCCUUUAACGAGGAACAAUUGGAGGGCAAGUCUGGUGCCAGCAGCCGCGGUAACUCCAGCUCCAAUAGCGUAUAUUAAAGUUGCUGCAGUUAAAAAGCUCGUAGUUGGAUCUCAGGUACGGAGCUAGUGGUUGGCUUUAGCCGAACCAUUAGUUUCCGCCUCACUAGCUGUAUGUUAUCUUGUGUGCUCUUCACUGUGUGCACAAGAUACUCAGCACGUUUACUUUGAAAAGAUUAGAGUGCUCAAAGCAGGCCUUGUGCUUGAAUACUGUUGCAUGGAAUAAUGGAAUAGGACUUCGGUUCUAUUUUGUUGGUUUUCGGAAUCGAAGUAAUGAUUAAAAGAGACAGACGGGGGCAUCUGUAUGGUGGUGUUAGAGGUGAAAUUCGAUGAUCGCCGCCAGACAAACAACUGCGAAAGCAUUUGCCAAGGAUGUUUUCAUUAAUCAAGAACGAAAGUCAGAGGUUCGAAGACGAUCAGAUACCGUCCUAGUUCUGACCAUAAACGAUGCCAACUGACAAUCGGAGUUUAUUAUUAUUUUUCACUCCGGCAGUCCCUGGGAAACCUUUAAGUCUAUCGGUUCUGGGGGGAGUAUGGUUGCAAAUCCGAAACUUAAAGGAAUUGACGGAAGGGCACCACCAGGUGUGGAGCCUGCGGCUUAAUUUGACCCAACACGGGAAAACUCACCCGGCCCGGACACUGUGAGGAUUGACAGAUUGAUAGCUCUUUCUUGAUUCAGUGGGUGGUGGUGCAUGGCCGUUCUUAGUUGGUGGAGUGAUUUGUCUGGUUAAUUCCGAUAACGAACGAGACUCUAGCCUGCUAAAUAGUCACCACGUAAUAAUUGCGUGGACUGACUUCUUAGAGGGAUUCGCUACGUUUAGUGGCACGAAAUUGAGCAAUAACAGGUCUGUGAUGCCCUUAGAUGUUCGGGGCCGCACGUGCGCUACACUGACGAUAUCAAUGAGUGUCUUCCUAAGCCGAGAGGUUUGGGAAAUCUUAUGAAUUAUCGUCAUGUCAGGGAUUGGGGCUUGUAAUUUUUCCCCAUGAACGAGGAAUACCGAGUAAGCGCAAGUCAUAAGCUUGCGCUGAUUACGUCCCUGCCCUUUGUACACACCGCCCGUCGCUACUACCGAUUGAAUGGUUUAGUGAGGCAUUUGGAUCGAGAUUAAUGGAGUGGUUUUCCAUUUUGUUGAUUUUGAGAAAAUUGUCAAACUUGAUCAUUUAGA